ACCGGUUUAUUCUGAAGCACCAGU
rnacentral:miRNA from 1 species